UCUAACAGUUUGUUUUUGUGGUGGAGUCUGAAGGCAAGCUCCUCGCGUUAUAAGCCCAGUGCUUGUCUGUUUAUGUUUUGUCCACGGAGUCGUCACUGGAAGAAGGGUUCUAUUUGCCGUUUCUAGCUAGUUAGCUUCACGCAGGCGAAUACAGAUAGGGUAUUACAUCGAAUACGGAUACAGUGGAGUGAAUCACAGAGUAUUGUUCACCACUCCAGCUAUCCUUUUCAUAUAAUGACCAAACAGCAGGCAGCGCGGACAUAAUUCUUCUAUAGGCCUACUGUAGUCUAGGUUUGUGAGGCAGUGCCCACUAGAUUGUUCAGUUUAUUUUAUGGUUUAUUAUGAUUUACUUUAUUUAUGUGAAAACCACAGAUCUACUGUAGUGGGAGCCAUACCAUUGAACAGAAUUGUAUGAUGUUCAUUCUAGCUAGAACUAUUAGAUAAUGUUUGGACUCCUGGUAGGGGGUGGGGCAUCGGUAGGGCCAUCCUGAAUGUGAAUUGAUUGAGUACAGGUGGCAGGUGGCAGGUGAGGCGUAAAGAGUUAAUUCUGCAUGUUUAUGUAAAUAAGUAAUAUAAUCCGCUAACCUAUCUGAACCAUCAAUUUCUGAACAGGUCAGUUUGAUGAAGAACACCAGGACCUGCUCGAAGCAGAGGACGCCUAUACGGAGGGUCCUCUUCAUUCAACCCCCCAGAAACAGACAUCUGUGAAACUGGCUCCCACAUGGACCAAGCCACUGGAGAGGGCGUCUUCAUCCACCACCAUGGCCACCCAUAGUCCAAGAAGUCUUCACUAUGAGGAUCCACACCUCACUGGAGCUACUGCGAUGGACAAGUGCCACCUGACAUUGUUGUUGGACGCAAGCAUGACCUCUGAGACUGGAGCUGCUCAGGUGAUGGAUGUCCGUCUUGCCCCACAUCGCUGGGGUCCACCGCUGGGAGGACGUUGGCAUCGAAUACAAGUGCUUCCAC